CUUCCCAUCAAAAAUUGAAACUCUCAUCAUUGUCCAUGUUCCUGGACUCAUUUUUUUGAUUCAAGACAAACUUUCUCUAGCUAAUGAGCUUCAAUACAUGACAGAAUUGACAUGGUACAAACAUGGGAAAUGCAACGCAUUUUUCUUGUUGGUUUCAAUUGAAGUUUCAACUGGAGAGCUCACAAUCUAUACCACAUUGCUCAGAUAAUACAACACUAAUGCAUAUAUAUCUAUGCUAAGAUCCUAUGAUUAGCAAACAGGUUGAUUUGUAUAAUUAAGGUCACUAGACUUGCCAUAGAGACCUCAGCCACAUCAAGCGUCGAGGCCCUUUGAUUGUCAUGAAUGCAAUUGCAUUCUUAUCAUCUUUAAGAACAUUAACAGCCUUUGUAAACUCAGUAUCAUCCAAUUCUUCCAAUUUCUGCAGAUCCUCUAGGCACUUUUGAUACACAGCUUUCUCAUUCAUGGCGUUCAUUUGCACAGCUCUCAUUGUGGCUGCUGAGAACAUCUCAUAUAAAGCAUUCUCUAGAGUCUCUCCAACAUUAUCGCAUGCUCUUCUUUUACGACCUGAUGCUGAAGCAGCAACAGAUUUCCGCUUCCUUGGUUGUGUGUCAUUUAUGCGGAUUAUUGAAUCAGAAUCAAGGGUACCAUCAACUACCUGUGUAGCUAGGUUAAUAGGCUCUGAUGAUCGCACUGUCUCUGUGUUGCUGUUUCCCUCUUCAGUUUCAACAGGUAUUCCACUUGGAACAAGGAAUUUUCCGGUAACUCUUUCUCCUGUACGUGGCAUGUCACUAAAUGCUAGAACAUCGAACACAACUAAUAAAGAACAUACAAUUUACCUUCAAAUAUGAUGGACAUCUGUUUAUACAGGGGAAAGCUCUUUCGCCGAAAAGGCCUUGCUUCACUUCGUAUCUGCAAUAACAUUAUAUCAGCUCCUAUCAAUGCAUCAAAUAUAACUUAAGAGUAAUUUACCUACCGCAAUGUAGCUAUCCCAAACUUUAUCAUCAGCCACAACCAUUUGCCGUGUUUCAUCCCAGCCAAAUCCUGUAUGGCUAAGCAGGGUUUUAACAACACCAUACUCUUUCUUCAUAACAUUGUAACGGUUUUUAAUUUGGUUUUCCUCCAAAUUCAUGCCAAACUUCUUAUUAAAAUCAUGAGUGACAGAUCUAAUCACUUCAUUUUUGAAUUCAUUGUAAGCAGUUCUUCCACAAUUAUGUUGAUCAAUAAAAAGUUCAACCAGAUAAGCAUCUCGACUUGGAGUCCAUUCGGCCUUGGGACGCCCUAAGAUCCCAUCCUGUGCAGCAGACAUAUUGUAGCCCUUUGCUAAAAAGGACAAGACCAGUCAAGAUGUGCUAAAUCAACAAAAUGAAAUUUAUACAACAAUAUCAA
rnacentral:misc_RNA from 1 species